UAAAAUAUCUUACUGUUGAACAGGGAUUUUGCAUUGCUUAGAGAAAAUGUGCAUUACUUGGAAUCUUUUUACUUCUCUGAGCCUAAAGAACACCUACCUUUGGAAAAACACUGUUUUAAGGCUGUGCUGAGUCCGACACUGAACUGUGCUCUAGUACUGGUGCAUAAGAAAAGAAGUGAUUCCCAUACAACAGGAACUUAGAUGUUUGAUUUCGUCUGGAAAAAAAAAAAAAAAAAAAAAAAAAAGGCUGUCCUAGGAGCUACAAAAGCAAGAAAAGAAUGGCUUCAUAGAAUGCAGUAACUCCCAGAAUAUGGAUCUGACACUGUAUGAUUACUAAAGUUCAGAUGACUUCUGCAAAACAAAAUCAAGGCAUCCAAUCUGGGUUAUGGACUGGCUUCUUCCCAAAUAUCUUGUCUGGGGUUCAUUGAUACAGAAGCUUCUGCAUACAAGGAACUGCCUGCAGAGUUGAUAAGCAAGCUUCUGAUGAGCUACCUUUUCUUCCCAAGUGCAAUUUUCCCUUGAAUGGUUGUUGAUUAUGAAGAAUAUCUUCCCCCUUAUAUCAUUCAGAUAAAUUUCCUGGGCAAAUACCUCUUUAGAAGCCUUCUUCUGCAUACCAUGUUUAUCAUAAAGAUGUCACCAGUGUGAUGCCUAGCAACCAGUACAGUGUUCCGGAGGUGUUUGCAUACAUUUUCCUGAGGGAGAGAUCUGCCUUGUCCCUGCUUGGGAGAGCUGUCAGUGUAUUCUGAUGUAUGAGGGAUAAAAGGAGUCCCUGCUGCAGUCUCCAAUAAGCUGAAGUCACGGCCUGAAAGCACUGACUUGGGCAUCACUAUGCUGUGUUAGAAAAUGUGUCAAUUAUCAGAUGGACUGCCUAAGGGUAUCGCCUGGGUCUAGGUCAUAAAACCAUCAGGACCAACGGGGAAAAAAUUGAUGAGGAAGUUAACCAAUGAAUAUAUGCCUCCCAAUUUUGGCCCAGUACCACUACCAUCUAUCCAGACUUGUAAUAUUUUACCAACUUUUUCAUUAUUUAAAAAAAAAAAAAAAGUGAAACAACAAGAAGCUAUAAAAAUAGAAGUAAAAUCAUGUUAAUAUUUUAUAGCUAUUUUUCUAUUAUUGCAAUUUCUAAUAUACUGUGCAUUUGUUUGUAUGUGAAUACAGUGGGGACCACUUAAAUAUCUAGCCUGAGGCCUGAUUCAUGAAAGCUUUAUGCACCAUUUAUGUAGGUAUCUGUGGCAUUCACUCAGAAAAAGUAAGGAAUACAUAUUUUAUAGUAAAGUUUAUUCCUGUGCACAACCCACCUCCAGUAGCUGUCUGUAACAGAAAUGGGAAGAACAUCAAGGGUCCUCUAAAUAUCUGAGCAAUUCAGAAUUUUAGAUAUAAUAAUUGGCAGUGAUUAUCCUGUUGUAGCCUCGAAGUGCAACACUCUCCACAUGAGUACUGGGGCCUCAUUUCUGCCGUUCAGAGGCAUGUAUAUAACAUUACUGACUCAUAAUGAGCUACAUACUUUGGCAGGACAACAGAAUUUGGUUGUCCUGUCACACACAAGCACUUUUUUUACCACUGUUUUUUUCUGAAAACAGCCUUUUCAACACCUUUGUGUGAAGAAGAAGUGUGGAGAAAAGAGAGAGUGUGUAAUAAAGUGACUUGUCAAAGUCACACGAAAACUCUGUUAUACAGAUGAGAAUCAAAACCACUCUGUCCAUUACUUUAAUUACACAUCUUUCCUUCCUCUCAGGUCUCUUGAGACAAAGUAUUUCCUAAAUAUCUACCAUCUUUAACAUGUUCAUUUCUUAGAUUCAUGAAUCUAGUUCUUCUCAUAGGAAAGCAAGCUACCCACAUGUAGGUCUCCACAAUUUACAAUUACCUUACAGUUGCUUCAGGAAUGCUGCUGCACUGUGAGAGUAGUGUCAUGCUUUGGCUCUGAAUGCAAAGUCAGUACUGCAGUAAAAAAAAUAAAAUAAAAUA